UACGUAGGGUGCAAGCGUUAAUCGGAAUUACUGGGCGUAAAGCGUGCGCAGGCGGUUUUGUAAGUCUGACGUGAAAUCCCCGGGCUCAACCUGGGAAUUGCGAUGGAGACUGCAAGGCUGAAUCUGGCAGAGGGGGGUAGAAUUCCACGUGUAGCAGUGAAAUGCGUAGAGAUGUGGAGGAACACCGAUGGCGAAGGCAGCCCCCUGGGUCAAGAUUGACGCUCAUGCACGAAAGCGUGGGGAGCAAACAGG
rnacentral:rRNA from 1 species